AAAUUUUCGAAGGAAAGAAAAAAAGAAAUCAAACAUCUCACAGCUUAAACCCUCUCAGCAUCUAUUGAUAUUGAAGAGCCAGACCAGAAAAAUCCCCAUCUUGAAGAAAAGGAAGAACACGGAAAAGCUCAGAUUAGGGAAGCCAAAAGGGAGAACAAAUCCGAAUCCUGCAACCAAGAUGUUGUGCGACAGCAUUCCCACUCCCCAUAUGCAAGAACAAAAGCAGACCAAGGAAGCAGAAGAAAACAAAACUACUCUGCAUAGAGGUAAUACCGAUCUUCUUCUAUAAGUCGAUAAAUCUGCUCCGGGCCAUCCUCCACCCAAAAGGUAUUUUCUUCAUAAUCCUUACCUGACCUUGCCAAGAGAUUAGCGACAAUAUCCCAUUGUCUUGGAGUAAACACAAAGUCAAUAUUGAAAAAUUUUCUCAUGUGUCUAAUACUCUGAAUAAUGAAAUCGAUAGGAGAGAGAUCAAAAUAGCUAGACAAGGCCUUUUUAAUCACGGUAAGAGAAUCCCCUUCCACAACCAUCUUAUCGAGUCCCAAAUGUCGAGCAAAAGCCAUGGAUUAAAGACAGGCCAACGCCCUUCAGCAAAUGGUCUCAACUCGUGAGGAAGAACCGGCAAUAGACAUAAAACCAUCCAUUCUGGUUCUAUAUUUGUUCGAAUAAAAUGCUUAGCCAAUUCCAUGCGUCUAACCAAAAAAUCCUUUCUUCUUCCAAUUUUUCGAUCUUCCCAUUCAUUACCCGUGAGGCCUUCUUCUCCUCAUUCUUUCCAUUCUACCACCGACUUUCCCAUUUCUUAUUACAGUCCUACUAUUGGAUCUGUUGGUAUUUUUACAAAAACUUAGCAUCAAAAUUGACCUUCAGGAUAGGACCUUUAGGGGGUUUCCAUCAAUUCAAAUGUUUUUCCAUCGGAGGAUCUAUCCUGCUCUGAUGCAUCGAGAGUUCCAAAUAGUACCCCUUGAGAAAAGUAACCAAUUCAUCCACAAUCUGUCUUUUUCCUUCAUGUAAGAGUUUAUUUCGAGAGAACCAUAAUGCUCAUGUUGUAAUUACAAAUAAUGUUCUUUUGUCUCCCGUAUAAGUCUGGAAGAUACUGCCAAAAAGACUAUUUACAUCAGAGACCUGAGUCGCAUCCUAGGCGAAAUCCAACUUCCCAAACACGUUAUACACAAAUGGACAGGCACAGAUAGCAUGGAAGACAUCCUCCACCCCCACACCACAACGAGAACAAACUAGAUUAGAAGCGACCCUUUUAAUACAAAGAUUAUGCCUAGAGGGAAUGUUAUUUUUGAGAAAUAUCCAAUUAGCAAUUUUAAUCUUUGAAGGCACUUGUAAUUGCCAAAUAUUAUCGUAAAGGGUUUUAUCAGUAGGCUGUAUUUCUGUACAAUUAUUACUCUGAAAAAGCCUAUACCCAGACUUGACAGUAUAAAAACCCGUAUUAUCCCAGCUCCAAACCAGCCUAUCAUCACUCAGCUCACUUGCUAAAGGAAUACAGAGAAUAUCCUCAGUAGUCAGUCAUCAAAGAAGGGACGAAUCAAAUUAUCAUCAAAUCAAAUUAUCAUCCCAUUGUCUUUGAUUUGGUAAAAUAAGAUCAACAACCAUUUGUAAACCACUAACUGGAGGUGCUUGGAUUUUGCGAGGUUCUGCCCUUGAUAUCCAAUAAUCCUCCCAAAUACUCACAUUAUUCCCAGAACCAGUUUACCAUUUAAAACCUUUUUCCAAAAGACCCCGAGCACUUAGGAUUCAUCAAAAUGCGCCAUCCAUGCUUAACCAACAUAGCAAUAUUAAACUUUGCAAGGUCUUUAAACCCCGUACCUCCAUUGUUCUUCGAAAUGCAAAGGUCCCUCCACGAGCACCAGUGUAUCCCUCUUCGAUCCUUAUCCUUUUGCCACCAAAACUUACUAAUAAUUGAUUCCAUAUUAUGACAUAAAGAUUUGGGCAGUAAAAAACAAGACAUGUCAUAAACAGGAAUAACCUGUAAAAUAGAUAUAAUAAAAACCUCUUUACCUCCUUGUGAUAAUAGUUUCGAACCCUAACAACACGCUUCUGUAUUUUAUCCUUAAUAUCCUGAAGGAUCAAUCUUUUAUUUCUACCAACAAAAGGAGGAAACCUUAAAUACUUUCAGCACAAAAGGUACUCUGAAGAUACAACUCCCUCGCGACCAUUUCCUUAGCAUUUUCGAAAGUAUUAGUACUGAAAAAUAUGGCCAAUUUCUCAUAAUUGAUGCCCUGACCCGAACAACUAGCAAACUCAUCAAUUAUUCUUCUGAUAGUGCGCACCGAUUCAACCGUGGUUUGUCCAAAAAUCAAACUAUCACCCGCAAAGAAUAGGUGAGUCAAUGGUGGACUGCCUCUACUUGCCUUGAUUCCUCUCAAAGUCCCUUCAUUACAGGCCCUUUUCAAAGAGGGAGGAAAAACCCUGACUACAUAUUAAAAAAACAUAGGGGCUAAAAGGAUCCUCUUGGCGAAGCCUUCUAGAUGGCCUAAAACAAUCAUCUUGUUUACCGUUAAUGACAAUAGAGUAGCUAACACUUGUAAUGCAAUUCAUAAUUCGGGACACCCAAUCAUCCUAAAAACCCAUCUUCUUGAACAUUUUCCAAAAAACCCCACUCCACCCUUUAAUAGGGUUUGCUCAUAUCAAGCUUCAGAGCAAAAGAGCCUACUUUCCCGGUCCUAUUAUUUUUCAAACUAUGGAACAUCUCAUAAGCAAUAAUAAUAUUAUUAGAAAUUAAUUGCCCCAGGACAAAAGCACUUUGAGCUUCGUCGAUACAUAAAUGUAGAACUUUCUGGAAAUGGUUUGCAAUUGUCUUAGAGACGAUUUUAUAUAUCACAUUACACAAACUAAUGGGAAGGAAAUGAGCCAUAGAGUUGGGAAUAUUACACUUUGGAAUCAAUACAAUAUUUUUAAAAUUAAUAACAUCCAUGGGAAUUUCAUUUUUGAGUGAAGUGUGACAAUAGUCUAUUAUUUGAGACCCAAUAAUAUGCCAAAACUUUUGGAAAAAAAGAGUUGGCAUACCAUCCUUUCUUGAAGCUUUGGUUGGAUGCAUUCAUUUCGAAGCCACAUAGAUCUCUUCAUCGGUAAAAGGUGAUCGUAGUCAGGCAUUCAUCUCCUUAGUAAUACACCAGGACACACCCUCAAGCAAACUAUCACAACUGCCGACACCUUGUGAAGAGAACAAGUCAGCAAAAUACCCACACGUUCUAAAUCCUCUUGAUCAUAUAAAUUCCUACCAUCCGGAUCCUUCAAAGAUUUAAUUUUAUUAACACGACGCCCCUUGGAUGCGAAAUUUUGGAAAAAAAAGACGUAUUGCGAUCCCCUUCAUUCAACCAGUUGACUUUGGCUUUCUGUUCCCAGUACCGCUCCGCCUUAUUAGCCUCGCAGUUAAUCUUAAGCUUAGUGUCAACAAUUUCCAUUAAACAUCAUCAUUGGGGUGCAACUCAUAAAGUUCCUUGAGUCUCCUUUUCAGGCUAGCUUCAUUUGUUUUAUUUGCAUGUUUCAAUUGUGUUGCCCAAGACCAUAAUCCAUCAACCAUAGCUACAAGUUUCUCAAGCACUGACCCUACUGGAUGACUUCAUAUUCUUUCCAUUUCUUGUUCACAUGAAUCCUCCAUGAUCCAAUGGGCCUCGAAUUUUCAUUUCUAAGGGUGAUACUCCGCGUGAAAAUCCUUUGCGUUAACAAGGACUGGGUAAUGAUAAAAAAUAGAAUGUAAAAGAUGCAUCACACUGACAUUAGGGAAUUUUCGUAUCCAGUUAUCAUUGGCAACCUCCUAUCCAAUAUUUCUCUAAUAUUUGUUUCUUCCAAAUGCCCCAUUCAUAGCCUAAAUCAUGCAAAAAACAAUCAUUGAGGACCGAUAAAAAAUUAUCCAUUUACAGAAUAUUUCUCAUGCAAAAAACAAUAAUUAUAGAAUUUUCAUAUCUAAUUAUCAUUGGCGUAAAGAAUUUUAUUGAAGUCGCAAGCCAUAAGCCAAGGAAUAUCGAGGUUGUGGUUCAAAUGUCGUAAGAGGUUUCAUGAAUUGUAUCGACGUUGUUCUUCCUGAUCACCAUAAAACCAAGUAAAUCUCUACGGCUUUGUGUUCGAUGUUGGGAAAUGUCUCCAUAUUGUAGUAAACAUGCAACUGUUUUCUAUUUAUUUGAAAAAUGAAUAAAUAAAUAAAGUUAAUUUCAUAUUUCACUAUUAUGUCUUUUGUACUUUCUGUAUUUUAUAUUUGCAUGCAUAAAAUCUUAACAAUCAAAUAUUAGCUCAUUGAUUGUCUAAAAUUUAAACUGAAGAUAAUUGACAUUGUAAAGAACGUUUAUAUUGCGAGUAAGACAACUUACUUCAGUAUAUAAUCUAAAUGAGCCUGUAAUCCCGUAAAAGAAUUAAAGCGAGCAGUUGAUUCAAAUAUUGUGAAGGAUUAUUAUGUCGUUGGAAACACGGAAAUUUACACAUUUUUACAUACCCUUUUUAACUUCAAAUCAUACAGUUUCGAUAAAAUUUUUAUCGAAAAAAUAAUUAAUUUUUACAAAAUAAUUAAAGUGCACUUAAAAUAUGAACAUGUUGAAUUUUAUUUAAUUUUAUAAUUAAUUUUGAUGAAUUUCGAUUAUUUUCGACAGAUUUGCACAAAGGGCAAAAAUGGCUCGGCAAACAUUGCUAGAAGCGCAAAAUCGAGAAGCAAUUUGAAGUAUCGAGGUGAACUAAAUUUUAGCCUAAGACGGUCCAAAUUAUAUGUAUUAAUUCAUAAUAUAAUUAAUUUUAAUUUAUAUCUAAUUUAAUUUGGGUUAAUAAAUUAUUAUUAAUUAAUUAUGAAAAAGUGGUCUAGUUGAAUUGAACUGACCAAGAAAUGGACAGCCCAAAGAGCUGACCCAAAUCAGCUUAUUAGCUUAUUAUUUAAGCUUGCAAAGAGGCACUUGAAGACUUAUUCAAGUUGCAUUUAAACCCCUCCACAAUUGGUGGCUUUAUAGAUUUGCCCCAAGCCUAAAUUAACAAAGUUGAAACUAUCAACCUUGUCACAUGUGUGGCUGGUCAAGGGAGGGCUCUUUGGCUGAUAAUUUUCGCUAUUUUUAGCAGCCCUCCUCAGCUAUAAAAAUCCCCUUAGGCUGGUCAUUUGAAAAACACACCCCAAGCAUUCACAUUUUUCCUCUCUUCUCUCCACUUUCUCUCUUCUUUUCUAUUCCAAAAUUCCCUCGCUCUCUUGCCGAUUUCUCCUCUUGGGAAAGGGGCAUUCAUCAGCUAUUUGGAGCAGCAAUUAAGUGUUCAUAGCAGCCUUGGUCAACGAGGACAACGGAGAAGGAAGAACAGAGCAACUAGUCAAGCCACGAAAAAACACCAGAUUUAAUUUUUGUUCCCUAUCUAUUUAAUUUCUGUUGUUGUUAUGCUGAACGUAUCUCUUAAUAUUUAUGUUGUUGGAAUGGUUAAUUUAAUCAAUUUAGCUUUAAUUUAGUUCGUGUUAGGUUGAUUGCAUUUCGUUUGUUAAAAUUAUUGAAGUUGUGUUUAUGUUGUUAUAGGC
rnacentral:lncRNA from 1 species